rnacentral:rRNA from 1 species
AACGCUAGCUACAGGCUUAACACAUGCAAGUCGAGGGGCAUCAGGAAGAAAGCUUGCUUUCUUUGCUGGCGACCGGCGCACGGGUGAGUAACACGUAUCCAACCUGCCCUUUACUCGGGGAUAGCCUUUCGAAAGAAAGAUUAAUACCCGAUGGCAUAAUGAUUCCGCAUGGUUUCAUUAUUAAAGGAUUCCGGUAAAGGAUGGGGAUGCGUUCCAUUAGGUUGUUGGUGAGGUAACGGCUCACCAAGCCUUCGAUGGAUAGGGGUUCUGAGAGGAAGGUCCCCCACAUUGGAACUGAGACACGGUCCAAACUCCUACGGGAGGCAGCAGUGAGGAAUAUUGGUCAAUGGGCGCUAGCCUGAACCAGCCAAGUAGCGUGAAGGAUGAAGGCUCUAUGGGUCGUAAACUUCUUUUAUAUAAGAAUAAAGUGCAGUAUGUAUACUGUUUUGUAUGUAUUAUAUGAAUAAGGAUCGGCUAACUCCGUGCCAGCAGCCGCGGUAAUACGGAGGAUCCGAGCGUUAUCCGGAUUUAUUGGGUUUAAAGGGAGCGUAGGUGGACUGGUAAGUCAGUUGUGAAAGUUUGCGGCUCAACCGUAAAAUUGCAGUUGAUACUGUCAGUCUUGAGUACAGUAGAGGUGGGCGGAAUUCGUGGUGUGGCGGUGAAAUGCUUAGAUAUCACGAAGAACUCCGAUUGCGAAGGCAGCUCACUGGACUGCAACUGACACUGAUGCUCGAAAGUGUGGGUAUCAAACAGGAUUAGAUACCCUGGUAGUCCACACAGUAAACGAUGAAUACUCGCUGUUUGCGAUAUACAGUAAGCGGCCAAGCGAAAGCAUUAAGUAUUCCACCUGGGGAGUACGCCGGCAACGGUGAAACUCAAAGGAAUUGACGGGGGCCCGCACAAGCGGAGGAACAUGUGGUUUAAUUCGAUGAUACGCGAGGAACCUUACCCGGGCUUAAAUUGCAGUGGAAUGAUGUGGAAACAUGUCAGUGAGCAAUCACCGCUGUGAAGGUGCUGCAUGGUUGUCGUCAGCUCGUGCCGUGAGGUGUCGGCUUAAGUGCCAUAACGAGCGCAACCCUUAUCUUUAGUUACUAACAGGUUAUGCUGAGGACUCUAGAGAGACUGCCGUCGUAAGAUGUGAGGAAGGUGGGGAUGACGUCAAAUCAGCACGGCCCUUACGUCCGGGGCUACACACGUGUUACAAUGGGGGGUACAGAAGGCAGCUAGCGGGUGACCGUAUGCUAAUCCCAAAAGCCUCUCUCAGUUCGGAUCGAAGUCUGCAACCCGACUUCGUGAAGCUGGAUUCGCUAGUAAUCGCGCAUCAGCCACGGCGCGGUGAAUACGUUCCCGGGCCUUGUACACACCGCCCGUCAAGCCAUGGGAGCCGGGGGUACCUGAAGUACGUAACCGCAAGGAUCGUCCUAGGGUAAAACUGG